rnacentral:rRNA from 1 species
GAUGAACGCUGGCGGCGUGCCUAAUACAUGCAAGUCGAGCGAACGGACGAGAAGCUUGCUUCUCUGAUGUUAGCGGCGGACGGGUGAGUAACACGUGGAUAACCUACCUAUAAGACUGGGAUAACUUCGGGAAACCGGAGCUAAUACCGGAUAAUAUUUUGAACCGCAUGGUUCAAAAGUGAAGGACGGUCUUGCUGUCACUUAUAGAUGGAUCCGCGCUGCAUUAGCUAGUUGGUAAGGUAACGGCUUACCAAGGCAACGAUGCAUAGCCGACCUGAGAGGGUGAUCGGCCACACUGGAACUGAGACACGGUCCAGACUCCUACGGGAGGCAGCAGUAGGGAAUCUUCCGCAAUGGGCGAAAGCCUGACGGAGCAACGCCGCGUGAGUGAUGAAGGUCUUCGGAUCGUAAAACUCUGUUAUUAGGGAAGGACAUAUGUGUAAGUAACUGUGCACAUCUUGACGGUACCUAAUCAGAAAGCCACGGCUAACUACGUGCCAGCAGCCGCGGUAAUACGUAGGUGGCAAGCGUUAUCCGGAAUUAUUGGGCGUAAAGCGCGCGUAGGCGGUUUUUUAGUCUGAUGUGAAAGCCCACGGCUCAACCGUGGAGGGUCAUUGGAAACUGGAAAACUUGAGUGCAGAAGAGGAAAGUGGAAUUCCAUGUGUAGCGGUGAAAUGCGCAGAGAUAUGGAGGAACACCAGUGGCGAAGGCGACUUUCUGGUCUGUAACUGACGCUGAUGUGCGAAAGCGUGGGGAUCAAACAGGAUUAGAUACCCUGGUAGUCCACGCCGUAAACGAUGAGUGCUAAGUGUUAGGGGGUUUCCGCCCCUUAGUGCUGCAGCUAACGCAUUAAGCACUCCGCCUGGGGAGUACGACCGCAAAGUUGAAACUCAAAGGAAUUGACGGGGACCCGCACAAGCGGUGGAGCAUGUGGUUUAAUUCGAAGCAACGCGAAGAACCUUACCAAAUCUUGACAUCCUUUGACAACUCUAGAGAUAGAGCUUUCCCCUUCGGGGGACAAAGUGACAGGUGGUGCAUGGUUGUCGUCAGCUCGUGUCGUGAGAUGUUGGGUUAAGUCCCGCAACGAGCGCAACCCUUAAGCUUAGUUGCCAUCAUUAAGUUGGGCACUCUAAGUUGACUGCCGGUGACAAACCGGAGGAAGGUGGGGAUGACGUCAAAUCAUCAUGCCCCUUAUGAUUUGGGCUACACACGUGCUACAAUGGACAAUACAAAGGGCAGCGAAACCGUGAGGUCGAGCAAAUCCCAUAAAGUUGUUCUCAGUUCGGAUUGUAGUCUGCAACUCGACUACAUGAAGCUGGAAUCGCUAGUAAUCGUAGAUCAGCAUGCUACGGUGAAUACGUUCCCGGGUCU